ACGUAGGGGGCAAGCGUUGUCCGGAAUCAUUGGGCGUAAAGAGCUCGUAGGCGGUUCAGUAAGUCGGGUGUGAAAGCUCCGAGCUCAACUCGGAGAGGCCACUCGAUACUGCUGUGACUAGAAUCCAGUAGGGGAGUGUGGAACUCCUGGUGUAGCGGUGAAAUGCGCAGAUAUCAGGAAGAACACCAGCGGCGAAGGCGGCACUCUGGGCUGGUAUUGACGCUGAGGAGCGAAAGUGUGGGUAGCAAACAGGAUUAGAUACCCUGGUAGUCCACACCGUAAACGUUGGGCACUAGGUGUGGGGAGGAUCAACCCUUUCCGUGCCGUAGCUAACGCAUUAAGUGCCCCGCCUGGGGAGUACGGCCGCAAGGCUA
rnacentral:rRNA from 1 species